GACGUAGGGCGCGAGCGUUGUUCGGAAUUACUGGGCGUAAAGAGUGUGUAGGCGGUGUUCUAAGUCUGUUGUGAAAUCUCCCGGCUUAACCGGGAGGGUGCGGCGGAAACUGGAAUGCUAGAGGAUGGGAGAGGUAAGCGGAAUUCCUGGUGUAGCGGUGAAAUGCGUAGAUAUCAGGAGGAACACCUGUGGUGUAGACAGCUUACUGGACCAUUUCUGACGCUGAGACACGAAAGCGUGGGUAGCAAACAGG
rnacentral:rRNA from 1 species